rnacentral:rRNA from 1 species
CCUACGGGGCGCAGCAGUGGGGAAUAUUGGACAAUGGGGGGAACCCUGAUCCAGCGACGCCGCGUGAGUGAAGAAGUAUUUCGGUAUGUAAAGCUCUAUCAGCAGGGAAGAAAGAAAUGACGGUACCUGACUAAGAAGCCCCGGCUAACUACGUGCCAGCAGCCGCGGUAAUACGUAGGGGGCAAGCGUUAUCCGGAUUUACUGGGUGUAAAGGGAGCGUAGACGGCGAAGAAAGUCUGGAGUGAAAGCCCGCGGCUUAACCGCGGAACUGCUUUGGAAACUUUUUGGCUGGAGUACCGGAGAGG